rnacentral:rRNA from 1 species
UACAUGGGGUGCAAACGUUGCUCGGAAUUAUUGGGCGUAAAGCGCGCGUAGGCGGUUACUUAAGUCGGAUGUGAAAGCCCUCGGCUUAACUGAGGAAGUGCAUCCGAAACUGAGUAGCUAGAGUACGAAAGAGGGUCGCGGAAUUCCCGGUGUAGAGGUGAAAUUCGUAGAUAUCGGGAGGAACACCGGUGGCGAAGGCGGCGACCUGGGUCGAGACUGACGCUGAGGCGCGAAAGCGUGGGGAGCAAACGGG